UCGGGUCCGACCUCGGCUCGCGAGGGACGGCGGCCUCCCAGGGCGCCCUGGACCCGCCGGCACCGGCUCUGCCCGGGGCGAGACCGGACCGAGGACUGAUCCCACCGGUGCUGCGAACGGCCGGGACAGGGGCUGCUGCCGGAGGAGCCCGCGGCCGCCCGGCUGGGCGGGGGCUCGGCGCUGCCAGGGCUAUAAGCGAUACGUGCUGAGCUCGAGCGGCUCCGAUUUCCCCGCAGCGCAGGGAUGAUGGUGCAGUUUCAGCGAGGCUGCCUGACCUCUCCGGCGGGAGCAGAGCCUCGCGGGGGCAGCCGGGCCGGCGCCGGGGACGCGGUGCCCUUCCCAGCCCCGGGACRGAGGCCUCGUGGUUUGGGGACGAGCCCGGCUCGCGGCCUGGAAGAUGAGCGCGGUGCACGACGUGCGGACCGAGGCGCGGGAGCGGCCCAGCCGGCGGACGGUGGACCAGCUGAGCCCGGAGCUCCGCGUGGAGAAGUACAUCCUGCUGAGCAUGGACGGGAAGCUGCUGGGCCCGGAGCUGAGCCGGAUCCGGAGCGAGAUGGCCCUGCCCCUGGAGCGCCUGGAUGCUGACCUGCCCCAGGACCUGCCCCCCGGCUACCUCUGGCGCCAGCGCCGCUCCCUGCCGACCUUCCCCCUCGCCCCCGGGAGCGGCGCCCAGACCCCCGCGGACCUCAGGAGGAGCUCGGACUUGCUCUGCGCCGGCCAGUUCCCCACGGGGCUCAGCGACCUGGUGACGGGGAUGCAGGCCCCUGCCUCGCCGUGUGCCAGGAGCCGUGGCAGCCYGCGGGCUCGGCCCCGCUCCGCCCUGGCAGCCCAGGCUUCGGAGGCCGYGGGCCAGGGCUGCCGGGAGCGGACGGCCCCGGGGCGGGAAGGUGGCCAGGAGUGAGGGGAGCCGGGACCCCAGCCAGCUCCCCCCGCCCGGAGUAGGGGCGGCGCUGGCAGCACAGCGGGGCUGUAACGGGAGGAUGGUGCGAAAUAAAGACCCUGGAUGUAACCCCA
rnacentral:lncRNA from 1 species